CGAUGGCGACCGGCGCACGAGUGAGUAACACGUAUCCAACCUGCCGAUGACUCGGGGAUAGCCUUCCGAAAGAAAGAUUAAUACCCGAUGGCAUAGUUCUUCCGCAUGGUAGAACUAUUAAAGAAUUUCGGUCAUCGAUGGGGAUGCGUUCCAUUAGGUUGUUGGCGGGGUAACGGCCCACCAAGCCUUCGAUGGAUAGGGGUUCUGAGAGGAAGGUCCCCCACAUUGGAACUGAGACACGGUCCAA
rnacentral:rRNA from 1 species